rnacentral:rRNA from 1 species
UACGUAGGUGGCAAGCGUUAUCCGGAAUUACUGGGUGUAAAGGGCGUGUAGGCGGGAAUGCAAGUCAGAUGUGAAAUUCCGAGGCUUAACCUCGGCGCUGCAUCUGAAACUGUAUUUCUUGAGUGAUGGAGAGGAAAGCGGAAUUCCUAGUGUAGCGGUGAAAUGCGUAGAUAUUAGGAGGAACACCAGUGGCGAAGGCGGCUUUCUGGACAUUAACUGACGCUGAGGCGCGAAAGCGUGGGGAGCAAACAGG